rnacentral:lncRNA from 8 species
AUGGACCCCCCCCUUCCUACCUACUCCUUAAUCAGAACACACAGACACAAUGCCUUCUCUGUUCCCUGGACACAGCCCCGCACACCUGGCAACCGCCAGACACACAGGAGGGGGAGAACAGGGACAGACAGGAGGGGGAGAACAGGGACAGACAGGAGGGGGAACAGGGACAGACAGGAGGGGGAACAGGGACAGACAGGAGGGGGAACAGGGACAGACAGGAGGGGGAACAGGGACAGACAGGAGGGGGAACAGGGACAGACAGGAGGGGGAACAGGGACAGACAGGAGGGGGAACAGGGACAGACAGGAGGGGGAACAGGGACAGACAGGAGGGGGAACAGGGACAGACAGGAGGGGGAACAGGGACAGACAGGAGGGGGAACAGGGACAGACAGGAGGGGGAACAGGGACAGACAGGAGGGGGAACAGGGACAGACAGGAGGGGGAACAGGGACAGACAGGAGGGGGAACAGGGACAGACAGGAGGGGGGAGACGGGACAGACAGGAGGGGGGAGACGGGACAGACAGGAAGGGGAGACGGGACAGACAGGAAGGGGGAGACGGGACAGACAGGAAGGGGGAGACGGGACAGACAGGAAGGGGGAGACGGGACAGACAGGAAGGGGGAGACGGGACAGACAGGAAGGGGGAGACGGGACAGACAGGAAGGGGGAGACGGGACAGACAGGAAGGGGGAGACGGGACAGACAGGAAGGGGGAGACGGGACAGACAGGAAGGGGGAGACGGGACAGACAGGAAGGGGGAGACGGGACAGACAGAAGGGGGAGACGGGACAGACAGAAGGGGGAGACGGGACAGACAGAAGGGGGAGACGGGACAGACAGAAGGGGGAGACGGGACAGACAGAAGGGGGAGACGGGACAGACAGAAGGGGGAGACGGGACAGACAGAAGGGGGAGACGGGACAGACAGAAGGGGGAGACGGGACAGACAGAAGGGGGAGACGGGACAGACAGAAGGGGGAGACGGGACAGACAGAAGGGGGAGACGGGACAGACAGAAGGGGGAGACGGGACAGACAGAAGGGGGAGACGGGACAGACAGAAGGGGGAGACGGGACAGACAGAAGGGGGAGACGGGACAGACAGAAGGGGGAGACUGGACAGACAGAAGGGGGAGACGGGACAGACAGAAGGGGGAGACGGGACAGACAGAAGGGGGAGACGGGGGUCGAAGGUAGAAGCACAGAGGAAAUAGAGUGGGUUGGGGGGGGGGGGGUUGGGGGGGGGGGGCAGAAAAGUAGAGAGGGGGAAAGGGUGGUGCUACAGGAGGACAUGGGAAGUGAGCUCAUUGGAUUCCCAACCACCAGGAGUGACUAA